rnacentral:ncRNA from 1 species
CACCUGGUUGAUCCUGCCAGUAGUCAUAUGCUUGUCUCAAAGAUUAAGCCAUGCAUGUCUAAGUAUAAGCUUUAAACGGCGAAACUGCGAAUGGCUCAUUAAAACAGUUAUAGUUUAUUUGGUGAUCGAUUACUAUUUGGAUAACCGUAGUAAUUCUAGAGCUAAUACAUGCGUCAAGGCCCGACUUCGGAAGGGCUGCGUUUAUUAGAUACAGAACCAACCUAGGCUCCGCCUAGUCCUUGUUGGUGAUUCAUAAUAACCCGGCGAAUCGCACGGCUUGUCCGGCGAUGGACCAUUCAAGUUUCUGACCUAUCAGCUAUGGACGGUAGGGUAUUGGCCUACCGUGGCGUUGACGGGUAACGGGGAAUUAGGGUUCGAUUCCGGAGAGGGAGCCUGAGAAACGGCUACCACAUCUAAGGAAGGCAGCAGGCGCGCAAAUUACCCAAUCCUGAUACAGGGAGGUAGUGACAAGAAAUAACAAUACAGGGCAAUUCUGUCUUGUAAUUGGAAUGAGUAGAUUUUAAAUCUCUUUACGAGUAUCAAUUGGAGGGCAAGUCUGGUGCCAGCAGCCGCGGUAAUUCCAGCUCCAAUAGCGUAUAUUAAAGUUGUUGCGGUUAAAAAGCUCGUAGUUGGAUUUCUGCCUUGGGCGACCGAUCCACCUUUCCUACGGGAUUGGUCGGUAUCAGGUUUGACCUUGGCUUUUUCUUGGGAUUCGUGCUCACGUACUUAACUGUGCGUUGACCGUGUUCCAAGACUUUUACUUUGAGGAAAUUAGAGUGUUUCAAGCAGGCUUAUGCCAUGAAUACAUUAGCAUGGAAUAAUAGGAUAUGACUUCGGUCAUAUUUUGUUGGUUCUAG